AUCACCUGGGGACCUUGUUAAAAUGCAGAUUCUGAUUCAGGAUGUCUUUGGUCAGUCCGAGAUUCUGAAUUUCUAACAAGCUCCCAGGUAGAGUUGA
rnacentral:pre_miRNA from 1 species